rnacentral:lncRNA from 1 species
CAGGCCCCACACUCGCUCCCCCAACCGCUGCAAUCUGGAAGAAAUUACUCUUUCCAAACAGCCAGACUUCCCCACUUGCAGGAAAUUCCAGGCUGGCAGGGGAGGGGCCGGGCUGGGGGGCCGCCCCGUCCAUCCAAUCCCCCACCCCCUCCGCGGUCCUUCCACCCGCACAUCCAGUCCCGGCCACUUCCCGCCCCCACACUCAGCCUGGAGGGGCCUCCGCUUUUCCGCCGCGGCUUCUUAGUCCUUAAAUCCUAGAGGCCAACUUUUUUUGGGGGGUGGGGGGGGGUCGGGGGAGGGGGAUAAGGGAGGCCUGGGAGGGGCCUACUGCCUUAACCCUCUCGGCCCCAGACGGGACUGGGCGGGAACUCUGCGCCCCUCUGGGCUCCCAUCAUGGCCCCCGAGAGGGGCUGAGGCUUCCGUUCCCGGUGCAGGUGAGAUCCCGCCCGAAGGAAGGCGGAGGGAGGCGCGGGCCUGGGACCAGGAGGCGGAGGCGGGCCCCGAACCGAGAGGAGCGGGUCCCGGGCGGAGCCGGAGCCUGAGAGCGCGCGCGUCCGGUUCGGCAAGGACCGCGAGGGGACUGUUGGGAGGACUACAUGAGUUCCUUCAUGUGCCUGAAGCGCUUAGACCCCUGCCUGGCCCAGGGUAAGUGCUUGGGAAACAAUGUCAGCACCAUGAGUCCACUCUAGGACAGCCCCUUGCAAAUAGGCAUUCCGACUUCCCAGUUUUCAGAGGAGCAAACUGAGGUGUGAGGUUGAGAGAGUUAGUUCCGGCUGUGUUUUGUUUUUUUGUUUUCCUCCUUCUGUCUGCAUGGCUUGUGAGAGACCAAAAUCUUCAGGAGCUGCUAAGUGUUAGAAAAUGCCAGAGCUAUCACCCUGUAGGGUGGUGGGAGGACAGGAUGAGGGCAAGGUGGGGGGUGGGCAGGGAGAGGAAGCAGAGGUGGAGAGCGGCCCAGGGAGGGCCAAUGCAUGGGGC